UACGUAGGGUGCAAGCGUUGUCCGGAAUUAUUGGGCGUAAAGAGCUCGUAGGCGGUUUGUCGCGUCUGCUGUGAAAACUCGGGGCUUAACUCCGGGCCUGCAGUGGGUACGGGCAGACUAGAGUGCGGUAGGGGAGACUGGAAUUCCUGGUGUAGCGGUGAAAUGCGCAGAUAUCAGGAGGAACACCGGUGGCGAAGGCAGGUCCCUGGGCCGUAACUGACGCUGAGGAGCGAAAGCGUGGGGAGCGAACAGG
rnacentral:rRNA from 1 species